rnacentral:tRNA from 1 species
GGAAAUAUAGCUCAGUUGGUCAGAGCGCACGGUUCACAUCCGUGAGGUCGAGGGUUCGAGCCCCCCUAUUUCCACCA